rnacentral:rRNA from 1 species
AACGAACGCUGGCGGCAUGCCUAACACAUGCAAGUCGAACGGAGAUAGGGGCAACCUUAUUUCAGUGGCGGACGGGUGAGGAAUGCGUCGGAAUCUGCCCUAUGGUGGGGGAUAACACAGGGAAACUUGUGCUAAUACCGCAUAAUGUCGAGAGACCAAAGCAGGGGACCGCAAGGCCUUGCGCGAUAGGAUGAGCCGACGCCCGAUUAGCUUGUUGGUAGGGUAAUGGCCUACCAAGGCGACGAUCGGUAGCUGGUCUGAGAGGAUGAUCAGCCACACUGGGACUGAGACACGGCCCAGACUCCUACGGGAGGCAGCAGUGGGGAAUAUUGGACAAUGGGCGCAAGCCUGACGCAGCGACGCCGCGUGGAGGAUGACGGCC